rnacentral:rRNA from 1 species
UCAGGACGAACGCUGGCGGCGUGCYUAAUACAUGCAAGUCGAGCGGAGUUAUCCUUCGGGRUAGCUUAGCGGCGGACGGGUGAGUAACACGUAGGCAACCUGCCUGCAAGACUGGGAUAACAUUCGGAAACGAAUGCUAAUACCGGAUACGCAGUUUCCCCGCAUGAGGGAACUGGGAAAGACGGCGCAAGCUGUCACUUGCAGAUGGGCCUGCGGUGCAUUAGCUAGUUGGUGGGGUAACGGCUCACCAAGGCGACGAUGCAUAGCCGACCUGAGAGGGUGAUCGGCCACACUGGGACUGAGACACGGCCCAGACUCCUACGGGAGGCAGCAGUAGGGAAUCUUCCGCKAAUGGACGAAAGUCUGACGGAGCAACGCCGCGUGAGUGAUGAAGGUUCUCGGAUCGUAAAGCUCUGUUGCCAGGGAAGAACAGCCAGGCGAGUAACUGCG